UACGGGGGGGGUAAGCGCUGUUCGGAAUUACUGGGCGUAAAGGGCUCGUAGGCGGCCAACUAAGUCAUACGUGAAAUCCCUCAGCUUAACUGGGGAACUGCGUGUGAUACUGGAUGGCUUGGAUUUGGGAGAGGGAUGCGGAAUUCCAGGUGUAGCGGUGAAAUGCGUAGAUAUCUGGAGGAACACCGGUGGCGAAGGCGGCAUCCUGGACCAAUAUUGACGCUGAGGAGCGAAAGCCAGGGGAGCAAACGGG
rnacentral:rRNA from 1 species